GUUCACUUCAGCGGGACAUAUACUGAAAUUGGAAUGAUAUGGAGAAGAUUAGCAUGGCCCCUGUGCAAAGAUGACAUGCAAAUUCAUGAAGUGUUCCAUAUUUUU
ensembl:snRNA U6 U6 spliceosomal RNA